UGAUCCUGGCUCAGAACGUACGCUGGCGGCACGCCUAACACAUGCAAGUCGAACGAAGUAGCAAUACUUAGUGGCAGACGGGUGAGUAACAUGUAGGAAUCUGCCCUUUGGCCUGGAAUAACACGAGGAAACUUGUGCUAAUACCGGAUAAGUCUUUACGGAGAAAGCUUUAUGCACCAUUGGAUGAGCCUGCACUUGAUUAGUUUGUUGGUGGGGUAAUGGCCUACCAAGACUGUGAUCAAUAGCUGAUUUGAGAGGAUGAUCAGCCACAUUGGGACUGAGACACGGCCCAAACUCCUACGGGAGGCAGCAGUGGGGAAUCUUGCACAAUGGAGGAAACUCUGAUGCAGCGAUGCCGCGUGAGUGAAGAAGGCCCUUGGGUUGUAAAGCUCUUUCGUCGGGGAAGAAAAUGACUGUACCCGAAUAAGAAGGUCCGGCUAACUUCGUGCCAGCAGCCGCGGUAAUACGAAGGGACCUAGCGUAGUUCGGAAUUACUGGGCUUAAAGAGUUCGUAGGUGGUUGAAAAAGUUAGUGGUGAAAUCCCAGAGCUUAACUCUGGAACUGCCAUUAAAACUUUUCAGCUAGAGUAUGAUAGAGGAAAGCAGAAUUUCUAGUGUAGAGGUGAAAUUCGUAGAUAUUAGAAAGAAUACCAAUUGCGAAGGCAGCUUUCUGGAUCAUUACUGACACUGAGGAACGAAAGCAUGGGUAGCGAAGAGGAUUAGAUACCCUCGUAGUCCAUGCCGUAAACGAUGUGUGUUAGACGUUGGAAAUUUAUUUUCAGUGUCGCAGGGAAACCGAUAAACACACCGCCUGGGGAGUACGACCGCAAGGUUAAAACUCAAAUGAAUUGACGGGGACCCGCACAAGUAGUGGAGCAUGUGGUUUAAUUCGAAGAUACGCGCAGAACCUUACCAACACUUGACAUGUUCGUCGCGACUCUAAGAGAUUAGAGUUUUCGGUUCGGCCGGACGAAACACAGGUGCUGCAUGGCUGUCGUCAGCUCGUGUCGUGAGAUGUUGGGUUAAGUCCCGCAACGAGCGCAACCCUCACUUUUAGUUGCCAUCAUUAAGUUGGGCACUCUGAAAGAACUGCCAGUGAUAAGCUGGAGGAAGGUGGGGAUGACGUCAAGUCCUCAUGGCCCUUA
rnacentral:rRNA from 1 species